AGGCACUGUCAAAACAUCGACGUCUUCGACCUGCGAUAUCUAUUCGGAUAUGAAAUUGAUCCGGAUUGGUGGUAGUGUUUUUCUGCCUUCCGCUCGCCGCCACGAAUUCCUGCACGAAUUCGCCCGCCACGAUGAUCCGGAUUGGUGAUCCUGCUCCUUCCGCUCGCCCUUAUUAUAUAUCUUGAAAGAUGUUCACGACAUCUGUG